AUGAGUACUAGCUGUUGGAGUCGGUGUAAAGGCUCUAGUGGCGCAGCUAACGCGAUAAGUACUCCGCCUGGGGACUACGGCCGCAAGGCUAAAACUCAAAGGAAUUGACGGGGACCCGCACAAGCGGUGGAGCAUGUGGUUUAAUUCGAUGCAACGCGAAGAACCUUACCUGGUCUUGACAUCCUGCGAACUUUCUAGAGAUAGAUUGGUGCCUUCGGGAACGCAGUGACAGGUGCUGCACGGCUGUCGUCAGCUCGUGUUGUGAAAUGUUGGGUUAAGUCCCGCAACGAGCGCAACCCCUAUUGAUAGUUACCAUCAUUAAGUUGGGUACUCUAUUAAGACUGCCGCUGACAAGGCGGAGGAAGGUGGGGACGACGUCAAGUCAUCAUGGCCCUUACGACCAGGGCUACACACGUGCUACAAUGGG
rnacentral:rRNA from 1 species